CAAAAAUAGUGUAAGUUAUUUUGGUUCGGAUUCACAAUUUUGGUUUAGUUUUCAUAUCAAUUUGUCAUAGCCAUAGUAGCAGAGGUAGUUCAAGUAGACAACGGUUUCUGUUUCAAACACUUGAACGAGAAACUACCCAGUAAGCCCCCAAAAGAAAUCCCAUCACUCAUUCACAUAAACAGACAAGGAAAGUAUAUAAACCAUGAAGCUUUCCAGAAAAAGCAAAAACAAGUGAAAUUUGUUUGCUGUACAGCAUAUUAGCAAAGCUUCGGCAUCAUCCAGUCCAAUUUUAAUCUCAGAAAAUUUCUUCUUCUGCUGCUCUACAAUUCACAUUGAUAAAAAAAUAACCCAUUUAAUAAAAUGAUCAGAACUACCCAAAAUCAUGCAGAUCAAACC
rnacentral:lncRNA from 1 species